UACAGAGGUCUCAAGCGUUGUUCGGAUUCAUUGGGCGUAAAGGGUGCGUAGGCGGCGCGGUAAGUCGGGUGUGAAAUCUUGGAGCUUAACUCCGAAACUGCAUUCGAUACUGCCGUGCUUGAGGACUGGAGAGGAGACUGGAAUUUACGGUGUAGCGGUGAAAUGCGUAGAUAUCGUAAGGAAGACCAGUGGCGAAGGCGGGUCUCUGGGCAGUUCCUGACGCUGAGACGCGAAAGCGUGGGGAGCGAACAGG
rnacentral:rRNA from 1 species